rnacentral:rRNA from 1 species
GAUGAACGCUAGCGGCAGGCCUAACACAUGCAAGUCGAGGGGCAGCACAUAAAGUGGUUUACUACUUUUGGUGGCGACCGGCGGACGGGUGCGUAACGCGUAUGCAACCUGCCUCCAACAGGGGGAUAACGGAGAGAAAUUUCCACUAAUACCCCAUAAUAUCAGAAUCGGCAUCGGUUUUGGUUGAAAACUCCGGUGGUUGGAGAUGGGCAUGCGUUGUAUUAGAUAGUUGGUGAGGUAACGGCUCACCAAGUCAACGAUACAUAGGGGGACUGGGGGGUUAGACCCCCACACUGGUACUGGGGCACGGACCAGACUCCUACGGGAGGCAGCGGUGAGGAAUAUUGGUCAAUGGGGGCAACCCUGAACCAGCCAUGCCGCGUGCAGGAAGACGGCUCUAUGAGUUGUAAACUGCUUUUACAAGGGGAUAAAUCGGUGUACGUGUACACCGUUGAAGGUACCUUGGGAAUAAGGAUCGGCUAACUCCGUGCCAGCCGCCGCGGUAA